rnacentral:lncRNA from 1 species
GUUUCGGUGUGGUGAGUGAAAUGGAGAAGGCUAAACUUUUUCUUCCCACAUGCUCACUUCCUUGCUUGUUCGCUAGCUGCUGCAUCUGGCCCCUCAAGGGUAAAGUCAAGGGGAAAAGGAGAUUGAGAGGAAGGACAGUCUGUGAAUUGAACUACUUCUCAAAUCACUAUUCACAUCCUGGUAGAAGUCAAGCAAUGAAGAUGGCACAGAAACACAUCCCAAAUACUAUGAUACCAUAAAGUAUACUGUAGCAAUGCAUUGGCACACCCUCAUUUGAACAUUUGUCUCAGAAGAUUUUGACAGAAGAUAAAAUUGUCUGGUUUUUAUUUCAUUGGUUUCAUGAAAAUUUAUUUCACUGGUUUCAUGUCACAGGCCCAUGACUGUAUAAAGAGUCAUAAUCUUUACAAACACAACAAUGACUCACAGCGACAUGUUGCAAAGCUGUAAUCGAAAACACUGAUGUUGAUUUCAGAGGCCAUUAAUGGUGUUAAGAAGGCGCUUUUGUUAACCAAAUAAUUGAAUACUCGUAAUUACUUUUCAGUUCUAGUUCAGUUCUUGACACCAAAACAAGCCAUUUUCUUUACAUAGUGAAUGCAGAACUUGCCAGUAAGAACUUUCAUACUAAACUUCUAUGUAAAACAAAACAUGUCAAAAUCAGUAACUACUUUAAUGGAAUGGUAAAGAAUUUACUUAAACACAAAGGAAUGAAAAUAUCUCUGCAAAUAUGUCUAUUGACUUUUCAAAUUUGGUGACUUCUUUCGAAUUAAUUCCCUUACGUCUGUUCCUCAUCCACAUAAAAAUGACAAAAAUGAAAGAUAAUUUUCCAGCCUAUAAUUAAAUUUCUCCAUUGUUGGUAUAUGUUUUUUCAAAUACAUUUUUCAGUUUUCAUAAUUCAUAUGAGAAUUAUUAAAAGGGAGUUAGUUGCCUUUAGGACCUUAUUUGGAGCCUAAUUCUUAAAAAUUGUGUAAAAAUAAUUGUGACUUUUAAGAGACAAUUGGAAAUUUGAACCUGAC